rnacentral:rRNA from 1 species
AUUGAACGCUGGCGGCAGGCCUAACACAUGCAAGUCGAGCGGAGCGGCGGACGGGUGAGUAAUGCCUAGGAAUCUGCCUGGUUGGGGGGGAUAACGUCCGGAAACGGGCGCUAAUACCGCAUACUAUCAGAUGAGCCUAGGUCGGAUUAGCUAGUUGGUGGGGUAAAGGCCUACCAAGGCGACGAUCCGUAACUGUUCUGAGAGGAGGAUCAGGAACACUGGACCUGAGACACGUUCGAGACUCCUACGGGAGGCAGUAGUGGGGAAUAUUGGUCAAUGGGCGAAGGCCUGAUCCAGCCAUGCCGCGUGUGUGAAGAAUGUCUUCGGAUUGUAAAGCACUUUAAGUUGGGAGGCGUUACCAACAGAAUAAGCACCGGCUAACUUCGUGCCAGCAGCCGCGGUAAUAC